GAUGAACGCUAGCGGCAGGCCUAAUACAUGCAAGUCGAGGGAGAAUGUUGGAUUCGUCUGACAUGAAACCGGCGCACGGGUGCGUAACACGUAUGCAACCUACCUUUAACUGGGGUAUAGCUCAGAGAAAUCUGAAUUAAUCCCCCAUAAGACUACGACAUGGCAUCAUGAUGUAGUUAAAGCUCCGGCGGUUAAGGAGGGGCAUGCGGUACAUUAGCUAGUUGGUGAGGUAAUGGAUCACCAAGGCUACGAUGUAUAGGGGGUCUGAGAGGAUGAUCCCCCAAAAGGGUACUGAGACACGGACCAGACUCCUACGGGAGGCAGCAGUAGGGAAUAUUGGUCAAUGGACGCAAGUCUGAACCAGCCAUGCCGCGUGAAGGAUGAAGGCCCUAUGGGUCGUAAACUUCUUUUAUUAGGGAAGAAAAAACGGGAUGCGUCCUGUACUGACGGUACUUAAUGAAUAAGGAUCGGCUAACUUCGUGCCAGCAGCCGCCGUAA
rnacentral:rRNA from 1 species